rnacentral:rRNA from 1 species
AUUGAACGCUGGCGGCAUGCCUUACACAUGCAAGUCGAACGGUAACGGGCCUUCGGGUGCCGACGAGUGGCGAACGGGUGAGUAAUACAUCGGAACGUGCCCGAUCGUGGGGGAUAACGAGGCGAAAGCUUUGCUAAUACCGCAUACGAUCUACGGAUGAAAGCAGGGGACCGCAAGGCCUUGCGCGGAUGGAGCGGCCGAUGGCAGAUUAGGUAGUUGGUGGGAUAAAAGCUUACCAAGCCGACGAUCUGUAGCUGGUCUGAGAGGAUGAUCAGCCACACUGGGACUGAGACACGGCCCAGACUCCUACGGGAGGCAGCAGUGGGGAAUUUUGGACAAUGGGCGCAAGCCUGAUCCAGCCAUGCCGCGUGCAGGAUGAAGGCCUUCGGGUUGUAAACUGCUUUUGUACGGAACGAAAAGCCUUCUUUUAAUACAGGAGGGUCAUGACGGUACCGUAAGAAUAAGCACCGGCUAACUACGUG